ACGCUGGCGGCGUGCCUAAUACAUGCAAGUAGAACGCUGAAGAGAGGAGCUUGCUCUUCUUGGAUGAGUUGCGAACGGGUGAGUAACGCGUAGGUAACCUGCCUUGUAGCGGGGGAUAACUAUUGGAAACGAUAGCUAAUACCGCAUAACAAUGGAUGACACAUGUCAUUUAUUUGAAAGGGGCAAUUGCUCCACUACAAGAUGGACCUGCGUUGUAUUAGCUAGUAGGUGAGGUAACGGCUCACCUAGGCGACGAUACAUAGCCGACCUGAGAGGGUGAUCGGCCACACUGGGACUGAGACACGGCCCAGACUCCUACGGGGGGCAGCAGUAGGGAAUCUUCGGCAAUGGGGGCAACCCUGACCGAGCAACGCCGCGUGAGUGAAGAAGGUUUUCGGAUCGUAAAGCUCUGUUGUAAGUCAAGAACGAGUGUGAGAGUGGAAAGUUCACACUGUGACGGUAGCUUACCAGAAAGGGACGGCUAACUACGUGCCAGCAGCCGCGGUAAUACGUAGGUCCCGAGCGUUGUCCGGAUUUAUUGGGCGUAAAGCGAGCGCAGGCGGUUUGAUAAGUCUGAAGUUAAAGGCUGUGGCUCAACCAUAGUUCGCUUUGGAAACUGUCAAACUUGAGUGCAGAAGGGGAGAGUGGAAUUCCAUGUGUAGCGGUGAAAUGCGUAGAUAUAUGGAGGAACACCGGUGGCGAAAGCGGCUCUCUGGUCUGUAACUGACGCUGAGGCUCGAAAGCGUGGGGAGCGAACAGGAUUAGAUACCCUGGUAGUCCACGCCGUAAACGAUGAGUGCUAGGUGUUGGAUCCUUUCCGGGAUUCAGUGCCGCAGCUAACGCAUUAAGCACUCCGCCUGGGGAGUACGACCGCAAGGUUGAAACUCAAAGGAAUUGACGGGGGCCCGCACAAGCGGUGGAGCAU
rnacentral:rRNA from 1 species